rnacentral:rRNA from 1 species
UACGUAGGGUCCGAGCGUUGUCCGGAAUUAUUGGGCGUAAAGAGCUCGUAGGCGGUCUGUCGCGUCGGCUGUGAAAACACGGGGCUCAACUCCGUGCCUGCAGUCGAUACGGGCAGACUAGAGUUCGGUAGGGGAGACUGGAAUUCCUGGUGUAGCGGUGAAAUGCGCAGAUAUCAGGAGGAACACCGGUGGCGAAGGCAGCUCGCUGGGACGUGACUGACGCUGAGACGCGAAAGCGUGGGGAGCAAACAGG